rnacentral:rRNA from 1 species
GAUUAACGCUGGCGGCAUGCCUAAUACAUGCAAGUCGAACGGAAGCAGCAAUGCUUUAGUGGCGAACGGGUGAGUAACACGUAGGGAACCUACCUAUACGACGAGGAUAACUACUGGAAACGGUAGCUAAAACUGGAUAGGAUCAAUUGAGGCAUCUUGAUUGAUUUAAAGAUCCUUCGGGAUUACGUAGAGAUGGCCCUGCGGCGCAUUAGCUAGUUGGUGAGGUAACGGCCCACCAAGGCGACGAUGCGUAGCUGAGCUGAGAGGCUAAACAGCCACACUGGGACUGAGACACGGCCCAGACUCCUACGGGAGGCAGCAGUAGGGAAUUUUCGGCAAUGGGGGAAACCCUGACCGAGCAAUGCCGCGUGAACGAUGAAGGUCUUCGGAUUGUAAAGUUCUGUGAUUGGGAAGAAUGGUAUUCUUAGGGAAUGAGGAGUACAUGACGGUACCCGAUUAGAAAGCCCCGGCUAACUAUGUGCCAGCAG